GUCCCAAGGGUAUGGCUGUUCGCCAUUUAAAGUGGUACGCGAGCUGGGUUCAGAACGUCGUGAGACAGUUCGGUCCCUAUCUGCCGUGGGCGUUAGAGAUUUGAGAAGAGUUGCUCCUAGUACGAGAGGAUCGGAGUGAACGAACCACUGGUGUUCCGGUUGUUUCGCCAGAAGCAUUGCCGGGUAGCUACGUUCGGACGAGAUAAACGCUGAAAGCAUCUAAGCGUGAAGCCUCCUUCAAGAUUAGAUCUCUCUAGCUAUAAAAUGCUAGUAAGGAAUGUUGGAGACUACGACGUUGAUAGGCUGGGUGUGGAAGUACAGUAAUGUAUGAAGCUUACCAGUACUAAUGAUCCGAGAGACUUAAGUCU
rnacentral:rRNA from 1 species